rnacentral:rRNA from 1 species
AUUGAACGCUGGCGGCAGGCCUAAUACAUGCAAGUCGAGCGGAAGAAGGUAGCUUGCUCCUGGUCUCAGCGGCGGACGGGUGAGUAAUGCCUAGGAAUCUGCCUAGCAGGGGGGGAUAACGUCCGGAAACGGGCGCUAAUACCGCAUACGACCUGCGGGAGAAAGUGGGGGAUCUUUGGACCUCACGCUAUCAGAUGAGCCUAGGUCGGAUUAGCUAGUUGGUGGGGUAAAGGCCUACCAAGGCGACGAUCCGUAACUGGUCUGAGAGGAUGAUCAGUCACACUGGAACUGAGACACGGUCCAGACUCCUACGGGAGGCAGCAGUGGGGAAUAUUGGACAAUGGGCGAAAGCCUGAUCCAGCCAUGCCGCGUGUGUGAAGAAGGUCUUCGGAUUGUAAAGCACUUUAAGUUGGGAGGAAGGGCAGUAAGUUAAUACCUUGCUGUUUUGACGUUACCAACCGAAUAAGCACCGGCUAACUUCGUG